UAGGGAAUCUUCGGCAAUGGGGGGAACCCUGACCGAGCAACGCCGCGUGAGUGAAGAAGGUUUUCGGAUCGUAAAGCUCUGUUGUUAAGGAAGAACGAGUGUGAGAAUGGAAAGUUCAUACUGUGACGGUACUUAACCAGAAAGGGACGGCUAACUACGUGCCAGCAGCCGCGGUAAUACGUAGGUCCCGAGCGUUGUCCGGAUUUAUUGGGCGUAAAGCGAGCGCAGGCGGUUAGAUAAGUCUGAAGUUAAAGGCAGUGGCUCAACCAUUGUAGGCUUUGGAAACUGUUUAACUUGAGUGCAGAAGGGGAGAGUGGAAUUCCAUGUGUAGCGGUGAAAUGCGUAGAUAUUAGGAAGAAUACCGGUGGCGAAAGCGGCUCUCUGGUCUGUAACUGACGCUGAGGCUCGAAAGCGUGGGGAGCGAACAGG
rnacentral:rRNA from 1 species